AGACUUUGAUUAUGGCUCAGGACGAACGCUGGCGGCGCGCCUAACACAUGCAAGUCGAGCGGGAAGCUUUUUAAGGAUUCUUCGGAUGAAUUAAAAAGUGGAGAGCGGCGGACGGGUGAGUAACGCGUGAGAAACCUGCCCUAUACAGGGGGAUAGCCAUUGGAAACGAUGAUUAAUACCCCACAUGACCACAGUAUCGCAUGAUACAGCGGUGAAAACUCCGGUGGUAUAGGAUGGUCUCGCGUCUGAUUAGCUAGUUGGUGGGGUAACGGCCUACCAAGGCGACGAUCAGUAGCCGGCCUGAGAGGGUGACCGGCCACACUGGAACUGAGACACGGUCCAGACUCCUACGGGAGGCAGCAGUGGGGAAUAUUGCACAAUGGGCGAAAGCCUGAUGCAGCGACGCCGCGUGAACGAUGAAGGCUUUCGAGUCGUAAAGUUCUGUUCUUGGGGAAGAUAGCGACGGUACCCAAGGAGAAAGCACCGGCUAAAUACGUGCCAGCAGCCGCGG
rnacentral:rRNA from 1 species